UGAUCUGUAGCUCAGUUGGUUAAAGCGCCGGUCUAGCGAAAAUGGAGUCGUGGGUUCAAAUCCCACCAGAACGC
rnacentral:tRNA from 1 species